rnacentral:piRNA from 1 species
UAAGUCCGGGGUGGCUGUAUCUAUCCCAGC